AUGGCGGAGCUGGUGGUCACCAUGGCGAUCCGGCCACUGGUGGCCAUGCUCAGGGACAAGGCGUCCAGCUACCUCCUCGACCAGUACAAUGUGAUGGAGGGAAUGGAGAAGCAGCACAGGAUUCUCAAACGCAGGCUUCCUAUCAUCCUGGACGUCAUCACCGACGCUGAGGAGCAGGCCGCAGCACACAGAGAAGGAGCUAAAGCCUGGCUCCAGGAGCUCAAGACGGUGGCCUAUGAGGCAAAUGAAGUCUUUGACGAGUUCAGGUAUGAAGCGCUCCGCCGUGAAGCAAAGAAGAAUGGACACUACAAAAAGCUUGGCUUUGAUGUUAUAAAACUCUUCCCUACCCACAACCGUGUUGUGUUCCGUCACAGAAUGGGUAGCAAGCUUUGCAGGAUUCUGCAAGAUAUCAAUGUCCUCAUAGCAGAGAUGCAUGACUUUGGGUUGAGGCAGACAUUAUUGGUGUCCAAUCAGUUGAGGCAGACACCAGUGUCCAAGGAGUGGAGGCAGACAGAUUAUGUCAUCAUCGACCCACAAGAAAUUGCCAGCAGAUCCAGACGCGAAGAUAAAGAUAAUAUCGUUAACGUGCUACUUGGUCAAGCUAGCAAUGCAGAUCUUACAGUAGUUCCCAUUGUUGGAAUGGGGGGCCUUGGCAAGACCACAUUGGCACAACUCAUAUACAAUGAACCUGAAAUUCAAAAGCAUUUUCAGUUGCAGCUAUGGGUCUGCGUCUCUGAUACCUUCGAUGUGAAUUCGGUGGCUAAGAGUAUACUUGAUGCAUCCCCCAAGAAAAAUUAUGAUACAGACAAACCACCACUGGAUAGACUUCAAAAACUUGUCAGCGGGCAGAGGUAUCUCCUUGUAUUGGAUGAUAUCUGGAACAGAGAGGUCCAUAAGUGGGAACGUUUGAAGGUCUGUCUUCAGCAUGGUGGCAUGGGUAGUGCAGUGUUGACAACAACCCGUGAUAAACAAGUUGCUGAAAUUAUGGGUGCAGAUAGAACCUACAAUCUCAAUGUUUUGAAGGAUAGCUUCAUAAAGGAAAUUAUUGUGGCUAGAGCAUUCAGUUCAGAGAAUGAAAAGCCUCCCGAGCUACUCGAGAUGGUUGGUGAGAUUGUGAAGAGAUGUCGUGGCUCUCCUUUAGCUGCAACUGCACUAGGAUCUGUACUUCUUACCAAGACCAGCGUGCAAGAAUGGAAGGCUAUAUCAUCUAGAAGCAGUAUUUGUACCAAGGAAACUGGAAUUUUGCCAAUACUGAAGCUUAGCUACAACGAUUUGCCACCACACAUGAAGCAGUGCUUUGCUUUCUGUGCCAUAUUUCCCAAGGAUUACAAGAUUAAUGUGGAGAAGCUUAUCCAACUAUGGAUUGCGAAUGGCUUUAUCCCAGAACAAGAGGAAGAUAGUCUUGAAACCACUGGAAAACAUAUUUUCAAUGAACUAGCAUCAAGGUCAUUCUUUCUGGACAUAGAGGAAUUUAAGGGCGACGAGCAGUAUUGUUUCAGAACUACAUGCAAAAUACAUGAUCUUAUGCAUGAUAUUGCAAUGUCUGUUAUGGGAAAGGAAUGUGUCAUUGAAAUUAAGGAACCGAGUCAAGUCGAGUGGCUUUCGGAUACUGCUCGGCAUUUGUCCUUGUCAUGUGGAGAACCAGAAGGUAUUUUGAAUGUUAUGGACAAAAGAUCCCCUACUAUCCAAACUCUGCUAUGCAAUAGUUAUGUACGAAGCUCAUUGCAGCAUCUCUCAAAAUAUAGAUCUUUGCAUGCCUUGAAGCUCUGUCUGAUAACAGAAUCAUUUCUACUCAAAGCAAAGUAUCUGCAUCACCUGAGGUACCUUGAUCUCUCACAAAGUUCUAUCAAAGCACUUCCUGAGGAUAUAAGUAUUCUGUAUAACCUGCAAGUGUUGGACCUUUCCAACUGCUCUUAUCUUGAUCGACUUCCAAUGCAAAUGAAGUAUAUGACUUCCCUCCGUCACCUCUACACUCAUGGAUGUCCGAAGUUGAAGAGCAUGCCUCCAGAACUAGGAAAACUAACGAACUUGCAGACGCUGACAUGUUUUGUGGCAGCAGUUACUGGACCGAAUUGCAGUGAUGUUGCAGAGCUGCAGAACUUAAACCUUGGUGGUCAGCUAGAGAUAUGUCAUAUUGAAGCGGAAGCGGAAGUGGCUUAUCUUGGUAAGAAGAAGGAUCUCAAAGAACUGACACUAAGAUGGACUUCUGUUUGUGACAGCAAGGUGCUCGACAAUUUCGAACCUCAUGAUGGGCUGCAGGUUCUGAAGAUAUAUUCCUAUGGAGGAGAGUGCAUGGGUAUGUUGCAAAACAUGGUUGAGAUCUAUCUUUUUCAUUGUGAAAAAUUGCAAUUUUUGUUCAGAUGCAGUACAAUCUUCACUUUUGCAAAACUGAAGGUGCUUAUGCUAGACCAUCUGUUGGGUUUUGAGGGAUGGUGGCAAAUAGAUGAGAGGCAAGAAGAACAGACAACAUUUCCUGUGCUUGAGGAGUUGUUUAUAAGUAAUUGUGGAAAGUUGGCAGGAUUACCUGAAGCUCCAUUGCUGCAAGGACCGUGUGGCGAAGCUGGUUAUACAUUGGUACGCUCAGCAUUUCCUGCCCUAAAGGUGCUCAAAAUGGAAAACUUGGAGAGCUUUCAGAGAUGGGAUGCAAUCGAAGAGACUCAAGGACAACAUAUAGUGUUUCCUUGUCUUGAGAAACUAUCAAUUGAGAAAUGCCCAAAGCUGACAGUGUUGCCUGAAGCACCAUUGCUAGAAGGACCUUGUGGUGAAGGUGGUUAUACAUUGGCACGCUCAGCGUUUCCUGCCCUAAAGGUGCUCGAAAUGAAAGACUUGCAGAGUUUUCAGAGAUGGGAUGCACUCGAAGGGACAUUGUUUCCUCAGCUUGAGAAACUGUUAAUUCAGAGAUGCCCAGAGAUGAUAGAUUUACCUGAAGCGCCAAAACUCACUUUAUUGGAAAUUCAAGAUGGCAAGCAAGACAUCUUCCAUUUUGUAGACAGAUAUUUGUCUUCACUGACCAAUCUGGUACUGAACCUAGAAGGCACAGAGACAACAUCAGAGGGUGAGUGCGCUUCAAUUGUACCCAUGGACAGCAAGGAGAAAUGGAACCAGAAAUCCCCUCUUACGGUUAUGGAGUUAGGAUGCUGCAACUUAUUCUUUGGAUCAGGUGCCCUAGAGCCGUGGGACUAUUUUGUACAUCUUGAAGAGUUGAAAAUUCAUGAAUGCGAUGUGCUCGUCCACUGGCCAGAGAAAGUGUUCCAAAGCUUAGUAUCCUUGAGGAGAUUGGAGAUUAGUGAGUGCAAAAAUCUGACCGGAUACGGAGAAGCACCUCUUAAGCCAUUCGCAUCCGGAAGGAGUCAACACCUGCCAGGUCUGGAGUCUCUUCAGUUAGAGUAUUGUCCAAGUUUGGUAGAGAUGUUCAACGUCCCGGCAUCUCUCAAGAUAAUGAAUAUUGAGUGGUGCCCUAAAGUUGAGUCCAUUUUAGGCAAGCAGCAGUACAUGUCUGAGUUAGUCCAAGGGUCUUCUUGUAGUGAGGAAAUCAUGCCCACAGCUGUAUCAGAGUUGUCAUCCUCACCCAUGAAUCACUUCUGUCCAUGCCUAGAAAAUCUAUGUUUGUCUGCAUGUGAUAGUUUACCGGCGGUUCUAAAUCUUCCUCUGUCCUUAAAGACCUUAGAAAUUGAUGACUGCACUAGUAUUCAAGUCCUAUCAUGCCAGCUGGGUGGGCUCCAAAAACCAGAAGUCACUACCACCAUAAGCAAAAGUCCUAUCAUGCCAGAGCCACCAGUAGCAGCAACAACUGCAGGUGAGCAUUUACUUCCUCCCCAUCUUGAAACUCUAGAAAUACUGGACUGUACUGGUAUGUUGGGGGGAACUCUCCGUCUGCCUGCACCCCUCAAGAGACUGGUAAUUAUGGGCAACAGUGGGUUGACAUCGCUGGAGUGUCUGUCGGGAGAGCACCCCCCAUUGUUGGAUGUCCUUAAUCUUCAAAGAUGCAGUACCCUGGCAUCCCUACCGAAUGAGCCGCAAGUAUACAGGUCUCUCUACUUUCUUGCAAUACAACGCUGUCCUGCUGUAAAGAAGCUCCCUAGAUGCCUGCAGCAGCGCUUGGGCAGCAUUGGCAUCAAAGGACUAGAUGCCCGUUAUGAAGUGAUGGCACUUAAACCGAAGACAUGGAAGGAGAUACCAAGGCUAGUCCGUGAGCGGAGGAAGGCCGCUCAAGAAGCAAGGGAGCGCCAGCAAUCCACCAUGCAGGAGUAA
rnacentral:rRNA from 1 species